GAUGAACGCUGGCGGCGUGCCUAACACAUGCAAGUCGAGCGGCAGCGAGGGGUGCUUGCACCCUGUCGGCGAGCGGCGGACGGCUGAGUAACGCGUGGGAACGUGCCCCAAAGUGAGGAAUAACUGCCCGAAAGGGUAGCUAAUACCGCAUAUUAUCUUCGGAUCAAAGGAUUUAUCCGCUCUGGGAGCGGCUCGCGUCGGAUUAGGUAGUUGGUGAGGUAAUGGCUCACCAAGCCGACGAUCCGUAGCUGGUCUGAGAGGAUGACCAGCCAGACUGGAACUGAGACACGGUCCAGACUCCUACGGGAGGCAGCAGUGAGGAAUCUUACACAAUGGACGAAAGCCUGAUGGAGCAACGCCGCGUGCAGGACGAAGGCCUUCGGGUUGUAAACUGCUUUUAUAAGUGAGGAAUAUGACGGUAACUGAUGAAUAAGGAUCGGCUAACUACGUG
rnacentral:rRNA from 1 species